rnacentral:rRNA from 1 species
UACGGAGGAUGCGAGCGUUAUCCGGAUUUACUGGGUGUAAAGGGCGUGUAGGCGGGACUGCAAGUCAGAUGUGAAACCCAUGGGCUCAACCCAUGGCCUGCAUUUGAAACUGUAGUUCUUGAGUGAUGGAGAGGCAGGCGGAAUUCCGUGUGUAGCGGUGAAAUGCGUAGAUAUACGGAGGAACACCAGUGGCGAAGGCGGCCUGCUGGACAUUAACUGACGCUGAGGCGCGAAAGCGUGGGGAGCAAACAGG